rnacentral:lncRNA from 1 species
AGGACCUGCUCAAGAGCUAUUUUGGAGGCUGAGGCAGAGGAUGACCAUGAGGGCCACAGUACCUUGUGAGGUGUGGUCUUGGCUCUUCACCAAAGUGCAGAAAUUUUGCUGAUUUGGUGCUUGCUGGGACAAAAUACAUGCAGUUUUGGAAGGACAGAGUUCUGUGCAAGGAAAAAAACAAGGUAAGAGCCUGUGAUGCAUGACUAGAGGUACCCUAAGGCAAUAAGAGCAGUGCUACCAGAGGCAACACUGAAAGUGAGCAGGAGAGCACGGUCUGGAUUUGGGGAACUCACUCAUCCUGCCAGCCUGUGCCUUGGCAGCAUCCUGGGAAACAUGGAUUCAGAGAGC